GUGAGAUGGAAUCAACAUUUAAACAUGCGAUUUUACGUUGAUUUCAUCUCAUGA
rnacentral:pre_miRNA from 1 species